CCUACGGGGGGCAGCAGUGGGGAAUAUUGCGCAAUGGGCGAAAGUCUGACGCAGCGACGCCGCGUGAGGGAUGAAGGUCUUCGGAUCUGAAAACUCUGUCAGCAGGGGAGAAAGGUCAGUGUGCUAAUCAGCAGUGAAUUGACGGUACCUGACCAAGAAGCCCCGGCUAACUACGUGCCAGCAGCCGCGGUAAUACGUAGGGGGCAAGCGUUAUCCGGAUUUACUGGGUGUGAAGGGGGCGGAGACGGCAAUGCAAGCUAGAAGUGAAAGCCCGGGGCCCAACCCCGGUACUGCUCUUGGAACUGCAUGGAUGGAGUACAGUAGGGGCAGGCGGAAUGUCUGGUGUAGCGGUGAAAUGCGUAGAGAUUAUGAGGAACACCGGUGGCGAAGGCGGCCUGCUGGACUGUUACUGACGUUGAGGCCCGAAGGCGUGGGGAGCAAACAGGAUUAGAUACCCCGGUAGUC
rnacentral:rRNA from 1 species